CAUCUGGUCAGGAUGCCUCCUGGACGCCUCCCUGGUGAGGUGUCCUGGCCACCUCCCACCGGGAGAAGGCCCAGGUGAAGACACAGGACACGCUGGAGGGACUAUGUCGCUUGGCUGGCCUGGGAACGCCUUGGGAUUCCCCCGGAGGAGCUGGCCCAAGUGGCUGGGGAGAGGGGCGUCUGGGCCUCCCUACUGAAGCUGCUACCCCCGUGACCCGAGAGUACGAAUGGGAUACGGACCCAUUCAUAGAGGCCCCACGGGUUGAUAAAGGCAGUCAGGUGGCGUGAACCCUCAGCAAUGAAGCCCUUAUGGUAAGCCUUUUCGCUGGUCAAAGAUUCUGAACCAGGUGUAACCCCCCAGUGUGUCUAUCAGGUCUUGUAUUUUGGGUAGCGGAUGUCGAUCAGGCACAGUCUUUUUGUUCAGGAGGCGAUAAUCAACACAAAGACGUAGGCUGCCAUCUUUCUUUCGAACACAGACAACUGGGGCAGCAUAUGGGAACUUGGAUUUAACAAUCCAGCCUCUCAUCAGCAGCUCAUGCACGUACUCCUUAACCUCUUUCAACAGUGGCUUCGGGACUGCUGAAUAUGCUUUCUGUACAGGGAUUUCAUCUGUGAGAGUGAUCGACAUUUGUAGACUUGGUGAAUGAGAUCGAUGGGAGGUUGCCAUGACGAUGGACGGGUGUCAACCGGUGUGGAUACAGCACUGUUAACAGUCACUGUGGACUUGUGUGCUUGAGGCACCCGCACUGCACAGAGGGUUCGCUGGCUUGGAUGAAGCUCACAAGUAGCUCUGCCUUCUCUGCUGGGACACACAAGGCAUUACAGAGUAGGACGACAAGGGUGAAAUCAGCUUUUCCGGUUGUUCUUGUAUCAUCUCCUCCAGCACGUUGAAACCCAACAGUGGUCUCUCCAGAGCAAGACUGCUGACAAGAAAAGGUACAGUAAUUGACAGAUUAGGGUCCUCAUUCCCCAUCAAAUUGACUGUCAGGGCAAGCCAGCCAUCAAACGGGAGGACGUCACCGUUCACUGCAUACACCCUUAACUUCUCUUCGUCACCAAUGUUGUCCCUGAGUGGCCUAACUGGGGUGUCAGGUAAAUAUUUACCCUUCCAGUCUCUAUCAAUCAUACUUACUUGAGCCCUGGUGUCUAGCAGAGCGCUGACGGCUUGUCCAUUUAGGUUCAAUUCAAUUCA